rfam:Actinophytocola sp. 11-183 contig80, whole genome shotgun sequence.
CUUCACCGACCCGAGCAGCAGCGGCGUCUCCCGCUCCUGCCCGUAGGUGGCCAGCAGGGCCUGCGCCUC